AUNAGNAAUAGNUAGUUUGUUUUUGUUUUAAAAUUAAUUUAAAUUUUUUAAGUGAAAUUUUAAAUUUAUCUAAUUUUAUAAUAAAAAGUUAAUGAAGCUAGAAAAUUUUAAUAAUAAACUAGGAUUAGAUACCCUAUUAUUUAAAAAGUAAAAAUAAAUACUUGAGUAGUAAUAGAUAUGAUCUUCAAACUUAAAGAAUUUGGCGGUGUUUUAGUCUAUUUAGAGGAACCUGUCCUGUAAUCGAUAAUCCACGUUGGACCUUACUAAAAUUUGUUUUCAAUUUGUAUAUCGCCGUUAUCAGAAUAUCUUAAAAGAGGAAUAAUUUUCUUAAUUUAUAAUUAUAAUUGAUGUCAGGUCAAGGUGCAGUUUAUAUUUUAGUAGAGAUGGGUUACAAUAAACUUAUUUAAACGUUAAAUUGUUUGCAAUAAUGAUUUUAAGGUGGAUUUAAAAGUAAAAUAAUGGAUAUAAUUUAUUUGAUUAUAGCUCUAAAACAUGCACACAUCG
rnacentral:rRNA from 1 species